rnacentral:rRNA from 1 species
AAUGAACGUUGGCGGCGUGGAUUAGGCAUGCAAGUCGAGCGCGAUAUGUAGCAAUACAUGGAGAGCGGCGAAAGGGAGAGUAAUACGUAGGUAUCUACCCUCGGGUCUGGGAUAGCAGCGGGAAACUGCUGGUAAUACCAGAUAACGUCUCCGGACCAAAGGUGUGAUUCCACCUGAGGAGGAGCCUACGGCCUAUUAGCUAGUUGGUAGGGUAACGGCCUACCAAGGCAAAGAUGGGUAUGGGGUGUGAGAGCAUGCCCCCACUCACUGGGACUGAGACACUGCCCAGACACCUACGGGUGGCUGCAGUCGAGAAUCUUCGGCAAUGGGCGAAAGCCUGACCGAGCGACGCCGCGUGCGGGAUGAAGGCCUUCGGGUUGUAAACCGCUGUCGUAGUGGAGGAAGUAUACGAGAGUUAUCUCUUGUAUUUG